UACGAAGGUCCCAAGCGUUAUCCGGAUUUAUUGGGUUUAAAGGGUGCGUAGGCGGAUUAUUAAGUCAGUGGUGAAAGCCCCGAGCUUAACUUGGGAAUGGCAUUGGAAACUGGCGGGCUGGAGUGCGGCAGAGGGGGGUGGAAUUCCACGUGUAGCAGUGAAAUGCGUAGAGAUGUGGAGGAACACCGAUGGCGAAGGCAGCCCCCUGGGCCGACACUGACGCUCAGGCACGAAAGCGUGGGGAGCAAACAGG
rnacentral:rRNA from 1 species